rnacentral:rRNA from 1 species
AGUGAACGCUGGCGGUAGGCCUAACACAUGCAAGUCGAACGGCAGCACAGUAAGAGCUUGCUCUUACGGGUGGCGAGUGGCGGACGGGUGAGGAAUACAUCGGAAUCUACUUUUUCGUGGGGGAUAACGUAGGGAAACUUACGCUAAUACCGCAUACGACCUACGGGUGAAAGCAGUGGAUCUUCGGACCUUUCGCGAUUGAAUGAGCCGAUGUCGGAUUAGCUAGUUGGCGGGGUAAAGGCCCACCAAGGCGACGAUCCGUAGCUGGUCUGAGAGGAUGAUCAGGCAAACUGGAACUGAGACACGGUCCAGACUCCUACGGGAGGCAGCAGUGGGGAAUAUUGGACAAUGGGCGCAAGCCUGAUCCAGCCAUACCGCGUGGGUGAAGAAGGCCUUCGGGUUGUAAAGCCCUUUUGUUGGGAAAGAAAAGAAGCAGGUUAAUACCCCGCUGUUCUGACGGUACCCAAAGAAUAAGCACCGGCUAACUUCGUG